rnacentral:snRNA from 13 species
GGAGACCCCAGGAGGAGGCCCUUCCAUUGCACUUCGGAAGGGCUGAGACCUGCCACUCUCCCAAACCGGGAAAGAUGGGGCAUGUAAUUUUUAGUAAAGGGGGUUGCGCAAACGCAGACCCAGA